CCCGCCGGAGCCCGCCCUCUGUCGGGCGCGGGGCGGCCGCGCGGGUGCCGAAAUGGCGGCGCUGCCCUCCCGCCUUCGGCGCCGUCCCACCCGGGCUGCUCCGCGUCCCGUCUCCGAUCCCGCUCGGGGCGGAGCGAAACUUCGUGACGGGCUUACCUCAGCUCGGGCCGCGAGCGGAGCGGUGGGGACAUGCACUUGGAGGAAAUAGCCCUUAGUCUGCAAAGAAAGAAGAGAGAACAUUGGGCUGAGGAGCUCCUCUUCUCACACCAAAAUGACUCGAGGUCACACCAGAUGCUUGCCCAGUAUCAGUUGGAUGGGAGAUGUCUGGAUACACAGUUUUAUCGUAGGAGUAAACUGUCAAGCUUGUACCAGAAGCUGAUGGAGGACACAGAAGUUGGCUUUCAGAUGACAAGGCUUCUCAGAUUCAUGCAUCCCCUAAGCCUUCCUGAAUCUGCUGAGACCACAGAGAAAUGCAUUCAGUGAAUUCAGCAAGGUCCUCACUGCAUCAUGAAGACACAAACCUGAGUUCUCAUCUUGGUGCCCUAAAGCAUACUAGCUAAAUGACAGAUCUCCAGAAAGCUUCCCCCCAUUCCCAAGCCAAGCAGAUUUCAAAUGCUGGAAGUAUCCGGGUUCUGAAGCCUGUGUCCUGAAGGUAGUGAAGAAAGACAGUCUACAGUCAACUUUAUAGACGUGGUCUCAAACAGUGCGAAAAACAGAUAGGUCUUGCUUCUACUGGGGAAAAAAUAGCAGUGCUGUUUAUAACAAUGGCUUUAUUUUUCUCCAUUGGAGAGAUUUGAAAUGCAGAAUACUCAGCAUUCCACAAUUUUUGCCCACAAGCAAGUAUGAGAUGGCUCCAAGAUGCUUUGCUUCCUUGUAAUGCAGAAGCCAAAUUUCUGAAAAACUGGAGAUGCUGCAGCACACACACCCUUGGAGAGGAACCACGUAAAGCCAAGUGGAAGUGGAAUUAAAUCAGGCUGCGCUGGAAACUGAUGGGAACCUAUAGCAAUGAACAGAAUGUCUGUUUCAAAUAAAUAGUUAAAACUUAAAAAUACUAAGUUUUUCCAGGAGAUCAUCCCAUAGCCAAUACUAGAAAGUGUUUUUCAGUCUCUGAUGUGUCUUUACAGGCAUUUGGAUACACUACAAUCAUUUUUAAAAUUCUUCUCAUUAUAAAGCAUGUGCACAAAUAUUUGCUGAGGCAUGUUUCUGCUGCUUUUUUGAUGCAUCAGUUUUCUACUGUAAGUAAAAACGUAGCCUGCAUUCUAUGAUUAGCUUGAUUAGCUGUCAGCGGGGAGAGGGAAGGGAAGGAGCUGCACAAGUGCAUUUCAGCCAACUUCUACCACUAAGGACCUAAGAACAGUAAUCCAAAACAGAUGUAGGGAAAAAAUGAAGGACACAUAAAUAUGGUCAUUUUAAUGCCUGUUUGAUUUCCCACAUUCGUAAGUGCUUUACUGAUGAAAAUUCCAGUGUGUUCAUGAGGCAAAGAUCUGUGUUCAUAUUCAUUUCUGCCCCAUUCCUUGCUACCUUUGAAUGUAAAUGUCUGUUCCUUUCUCUUCUCUGGGAGCUUUGUGGAGGGCCUGUCCUUUCCUUUCACACCAUUUCUUUUCCCAUUUUCUCCUUCCUAUUAAUCUUCUUCUUUUCGUUUCUUCUGUGCAUUCGUGCACAUUGCUUGUGCUCAGCUGCUUGGUCAGGGGUGCAUUGCAGCAGUGUUUCAGCCCACACUUGGAGUGCCCCCCUAACAUUGUUCCCUGAUUUUCCAUCUCUCCUCACUGUCAUUUGCUUCACCUAAAGAACAGCAUAAAAUUGACUGAAUCACCCUAAGCUGAAUAGAAAGAUGCAGUCCAACUGCUAAUGAGCAGUCAGUGUUUGGGGUAUAAUCAAGUUUAUCCGAAGUGUAAAUGGUUGAAGCACACACAGUGUGGUCUUCACCACAUUUUGCUCUGUGAAGCCAACCCAGAGCAUUUCACCAAGCACUCACAGGACAUAGCAAACACCAGGUGUGCCCAUACUCUAAGGCUACUCUGUGCCCUAUGUACGCAUCCACUGGCUCAUACUCUUGCUUUGUCAGUGCACUGUUCUUUCCUGCUUCUUCCUCAAAAUAUCCCCUCAGCAGAGAGAGCAGCUCAUCCACAGUCUCCCCUUGCUUGCAGCUGCCUGCUGAGGACAGGAGGUGUCUGUGAGCUGCCAGGAAGGGGAUGGCACGGGGACCCCAGCAUCCCUGGCCCUUUCACAGCCUGAAUAAUUGUUCCUUCACGGCACAGCAGAGAAACACUGGUUUGUGCUUCAGCAAAGCACAGCUCCACUGUUUUGGUCUGAAAGAAGAAAUGUUUUCAGUCUCUGCAGUCAGGCUCUUUGCAUUUCAGACAAACAGACUCAUGAAGAUUACUUAAUUCUUCUUCACUCGAACUGUUGCUAAGCCCUGAGAAGGCUCCCUACCCACAGGAGGACCUCUCAGCCCCCUCUGGUCUUUGUCUCUGUGGUAUCUCAUGCUCCUAAGACUCAGUCACAUUCUACAUCCUACUUCACUCCUGUCUUUGCCAGGAGCAAAUGCUGGUGCAGGAGGCUCAGAUAUCACCACUGUCUCCUGUAGGGACAGGGACUGACUGCCCCAGUUGCUGUCCAAAAUGAACAAUGAGCUCUGCUUCAAAACUGUUGCUGUCAAGUUUCUAUGAUUUUAGCCCGUGGCUUCGGCAGCACACUGGUAGCUCUUGGCAGCCAGAGGCAAGCCUCAGCAUUGCUGCAGCACACAAAUAUUAUCUUCUGGAAAAGAGCCAUUUUUCUGGCCUCUAUCCCAAUGCACUUGUUUUGUAAUAUGUGUCAUGACUAAGCAUCAGAAUUAGCAAAACAGUGGGAACAAAAACCAAAAGUUUCGAGCCAAAUGAAAGGCACUUCUGGUAUUCAGUUUUUGAAUUUGCACUUUCAAAUAAAAUCACCAGUGGAGAGGGCAGAAUAAAAUCGAAGUGUGGGAGCUUGUAAUGCAGACUCCACCAACACAGCCAUCCGUUCCGAGCUCUGCGUGGUUUUUUAUGUGCACACAUCCUAAAUUACAAAACCCAAGAACAAAACCUAACAAAAAGAUGUAUUUUGACACUGACGUUUAAAGUGAGUCAUGUAGAGUCAUCCAUCUUUUUCCUCAUUAAGCACAUUAAUAAGCUGACAUUUCUUAGAGAUUAACUAAACAGAUGAUGAUGCCAUUACAUCCAGGAGACCGAACAAGCAUUUCUAUUCACACAUGGCAGGGUGGGAAGUUUGUUCAAAGAUGGACAAAGAAAUAUGCAGAAAUAUGAACAGAUGGGAAUGAAAACAGGGUGAUUUGUUUGAAAACAGUCACUCAGAAACAUAAUGGUGUUGAAUGGGCAUUGUUUUCUCCUUUAAUGCAUUAUCAGAAAGAUGAUAAGAAUAUGUUAUUAUAUUCUUGUCAUCUUAGUAGUAGCUUAAAUUCUAUCUGUAUGUUUCAUAUCUAUGUGAAAACUUUACCUGAAGUGCAGAUAGGUACAAUUACAACUCCGUGUUGCACUCUCCCAUGGGCAGUGACUAUCAUAAACAUCAUUCAGAAACAUAUCUGCCCUUUUGUCAGCAAGAGAGAAGGUGAGGGUUGUGAAAGGCUCUGAGAUUCAGCUCACCUUUCACAGAGCCACCAUGGUGCAAUACGGGCUGUAAAGCUCCUUGUGCUAAGAGGCUUUGGUUGAUGUCAGCCUUCAGGUCUGUGUCUCCAUCAGGGCUUGGGGAGAGGAAACAGAUUUGCACCUCCCUACUAAUAGGAGUGUUAUCCAGCUGUGAUUAUGUAGUUAUGUAUUUCACUGGACUUUAAACUUGUAAUCCACAGCUUUGUAGUGGCACCUGUAACAUAAUUGCAAGCUGGUACAUCUGAUUGCAAAGAUCACUGAUAAUUUUGCUGUUCUACUGAUUUCUUUCUAGUGUGAUCAUUAAUUAAUAAACUUC